rnacentral:rRNA from 1 species
GAUGAACGCUAGCGGCAGGCCUAACACAUGCAAGUCGAGGGGUAGACAUCUUCGGAUGUUGAGACCGGCGCACGGGUGCGUAACGCGUAUGCAAUCUACCUUAUACUAAGGGAUAGCCCAGAGAAAUUUGGAUUAAUACCUUAUGGUUAAUUAAAAAGGCAUGUUUUUAAUUAUAAAGAUUUAUUGGUAUAAGAUGAGCAUGCGUCCCAUUAGUUAGUUGGUAAGGUAACGGCUUACCAAGACGAUGAUGGGUAGGGGUCCUGAGAGGGAGAUCCCCCACACUGGUACUGAGACACGGACCAGACUCCUACGGGAGGCAGCAGUGAGGAAUAUUGGUCAAUGGAGGCAACUCUGAACCAGCCAUGCCGCGUGCAGGAUGAAGCAUCUAUGGUGUGUAAACUGCUUUUGUACGGGAAGAAAAAAAGCUACGUGUAGCUUACUGACGGUACCGUAAGAAUAAGGAUCGGCUAACUCCGUGCCAGCCGCCGCCGUAA